UGCUGUUUUUCUUAUUUCUUGUUUCUUGAGAUAAGCCUGGAUUGCAAUGUAUUUUUCUCUCAGGACUGCCUUCACUGCAUCCCAAAGCGUUUGGAUUGUUGUAUUUUCAUCUUCAUUUGUUUCCAUAUAUUUUUAAAUUUCUUCUCUAAUUGCCUGGUUGACCCAUUCAUUCUUUAGUAGGGUGUUUUUUAACCUCCAUGCUUUUGGAGGUUUUCUGGACUUUUUCCUGUGGUUGAUUUCAAGUUUCAUACCUUUGUGGUCUGAAAGUGUGCAUGGUAUGAUCUCAAUUCUUUUAUGCUUGUUAAGGGCUGUUUUGUGACCCAGUAUGUGAUCUAUCUUGGAGAAUGUUCCAUGUGCACUUGAGAAGAAAGUAUAUUCUGUUGCUUUGGCAUGCAGAGUUCUAAAUAUAUCUGUCAAGUCCGUCUGAUCCAGUGUAUCAUUCAGGGCCCUUGUUUCUUUAUUGAUCCUGUGUCUAGAUGAUCUAUCCAUUGUUGUAAGUGGAGUAUUAAAAUCCCCUGCAAUUACCACAUUCUUAUCAAUAAGGUUGCUUAUGUUUGUGAUUGUUUUAUAUAUUUGGGGGCUCCCAUAUUCGGUGCUUAGACAUUUAUAAUUGUUAGCUCUUCCUGAUGGAUAGAUCCUGUAAUUAUUAUAUAAUGCCCUUCUUCAUCUCUUGUUACAGCCCUUCAUUUAAAGUCUAGUUUGUCUGAUGUAAGUAUGGCUACUCCAGCUUUCUUUUGGCUUCCAGUAGCAUGAUAGAUAAUUCUCCAUCCUCUCACUUUCAAUCUGAAGGUGUCCUCAGGUCUAAAAUGAGUGUCUUGUAGGCAGCAAAUAGAUGGGUCUUGUUUUUUUUUUUUUUAUCCAUUCUGAUACCCUUUGUCUUUUGGUUGGAGCAUUUAGUCCAUUUACAUUCAGUGUUAUUGAAAGAUAUGGGUUUAGAGUCAUUGUGAUGUCUGUAGGUUUCAUGAUUGUAGUGAUGUCUCUGGUACUUUGUGGUCCUUGCAACAUUUCAUUCACAGAAUCCCACUUAGGAUCUCUUGUUGGGCUGGUUUAGUGGUGAUGAAUUCCUUCAGUUUUUGUUUGUUUGGGAAGACCUUUAUCUCUCCUUCUUUUCUGAAUGACAGACUUGCUGGAUAAAGGAUUCUCGGCUGCAUAUUUUUUCUGUUCAUCACAUUGAAGAUUUCCUGCCAUUCCUUUCUGGCCUGCCAAGGUUCAGUAGAUAGGUCUGCCAGUAGUCUUAUGGGUCCCCCUUUAUAAGUUAGAACCUGUUUAUCCCUAGCUGCUUUCAGAAUUUUCUCUUUAUCCUUGUAUUUGACCAGUUUCACUACGAUAUGCUGUGCAGAAGAUCGAUUCAAGUUAUGUCUGAAGGGAGUUCUCUGUGCCUCUUGGAUUUCAAUGCCUUUUUCCUUCCCCAGAUCAGGGAAGUGCUCAGCUAUGAUUUUUCAAGUACACCUUCAGUCCCUUUCUCUCUCUCUUCCUCUUCUGGAAUUCCUAUGAUAUGGAUAUUGUUCCAUUUGAUUAUAUCACUUAGUUCUCGGAUUCUCCCCUCAUACUCCUGGAUUUUUUUAUCUCUCUUUUUCUCAGUUUCCUCUUUUUCCAUAAUUUUAUCUUCUAAUUCACCUAUUCUCUCCUCUGCCUCUUCAAUCUGAGCUGUGGUCGCCUCCAUUUUAUUUUAUGCCUCAUUUAUAGCAUUUUUUAGCCUCUCAUGACUAUUUCUUUGUCCCUUGAUCUCUGUAGCAAUAGAUACUCUGCUGUCCUCUAUACUUUUUUCAAGCCCAGCAAUUAAUUUUAUAACUAUUAUUCUAAAUUUUUGUUCCAUUAUAUUGCUUAAAUCGUUUUUUUAAGUUUAUUUUUUAUUUUUUAAAAUUUACAUCCAAAUUAGUUAGUAUAUAGUGAAGCAGUGAUUUCAGUAGAUUCCUUAAUGCCCCUUACCCAUUUAGCCCAUCCCCCCUCCCACAACCCCUUGAGCCACCCUCAGUUUGUUCUCCAUAUUUAUGAGUCUCUUUUGUUUUGUCCCCUCCAUGUUUUUAUAUUAUUUUUGUUUCCCUUCCCUUAUGUUCAUCUGUUUUGUCUCUUAAAGUCUUCAUAUGAGUGAAGUCAUGAUUUUUGUCUUUCUCUGACUAAUUUCACUUAGCAUAAUACCCUCCAGUUCUAUCCACCUAGUUGCAAAUGGCAAGAUUUCAUUCUUUUUGAUUGCUGAGUAAUACCCUGUUGUAUAUACAUAUACCACAUCUUCUUUAUCCAUUCAUCCAUCGAUGGACAUUUGGGCUCUUUCCAUACUUUGGCUAUUGUUGAUAGUGCUGCUAUAGACAUGAGGGUCAUGUGUCCCUUUGAAACAGCACACCUGUAUCCCGUGGAUAAAUGCCUAGUAGUGCAAUUGCUGGGUCAUAGGGUAGUUCUAUUUUUAGCUUUUUGAGAAACCUCCAUACUGUCUUCCAGAGUGGCUGCACCAGCUUGCAUUCCCACCAACAAUGCAAAAGAGAAUCUCUUUCUCAGCAUCCUCGCCAACAUCUGUUAUUGUCUGAGUUGUUAAUGUUAGUCAUUCUGACAGGUGUAAGGUGGUAUCUCAUUGUGGUUUGAUUUGUAGUUUCCUGAUGAUGAGUGAUGUGGAGCAUUUUUUUCAUGUGUCGGUUGGCCAUCUGGAUGUCUUCUUUGGAGAAGUGUCUAUUCAUGUCUUUUGCCCAUUUCUUCACUGGAUUAUUUGUUUUUUGGGUGUUGAGUUUGAUAAGUUCCUUUUAGAUUUUGGAUACUAACCCUUUAUCUGAUAUGUCAUUUGCAAAUAUCUCCCAUUCUGUCAGUUGCCUUUUAGUUUUGCUGAUAGUUUCCUUCGCUGUGCAGAAGCUUUUUAUCUUGAUAAGGUCCCAGUAGUUCAUUUUUGCUUUUGUUUCCCUUGCCUCCGGAGACGUGUUAAGUAAGAAAUUGCUGCGGGCAAGAUCAAAGAGGUUUUGCCUGCUUUCUCCUCGAGGAUUUUGAUGCCUUCGUGUCUCACAUUGAGGUCUUUCAUCCACUCUGAGUUUAUUUUUGUGUAUGGGGUAAGAAAGUGGUCCAGGUUCAUUCUCCUGCCUGUCACUGUCCAGUUUUCCCAGCACCACUUGCUGAAGAGACUGUCUUUAUUCCAUUGGAUAUUCUUUCCUGCUUUGUCAAAGAUUAGUUGCCCAUACAUUUGUGGGUCCAUUUCUGGGUUCUCUAUUCUAUUCCAUUGAUCUGAGUGUCUGUUCUUGUGCCAGUACCAUACUGUCUUGAUUACAGCUUUGUAGUAUAGCUUGAAGUCUGAGAUUGUGAUGCCUCCUGCUUUGGUUUUCUUUUUCAAGAUCGCUUUGGCUAUUCGGGGUCUUUUCUGGAUCAUACAAAUUUUAGGAUUAUUUGUUCUAGCUCUGGGAAGAAUGCUGGUGUUACUUUAAAAAAAUUUUUUUUAACGUUUGUUUAUUUUUGAGACAGAGAGAGACAGAACAUGAACGGGGGAGGGUCAGAGAGAGAGAGGGACACACAGAAUCUGAAACAGGCUCCAGGCUCUGAGCUGUCAGCACAGAGCCCGAUGCAGGGCUUGAACUCACGAACUGCAAGAUCAUGACCUGAGCCAAAGUUGGACGCUUUAACCGACUGAGCCACCCAGGUGCCCCAAAUGCUGGUGUUACUUUGAUAGGGAUCACGUUGAAUAUGUAGAUUGCUUUGGGUAGUAUCAACAUUUUAACAAUAUUUGUUCUUGCUAUCCAGGAGCAUAGAAUCUUUUUCCAUUUUUUAUGUCUUCUUCAAUUUCUUUCAUCAGCUUUCUAUAGUUUUCAGUAUGUAGAUUUUUCACCUCUUUGGUUAGAUUUAUUCAUAGGUAUUUUAUGGUUUUUGGUGCAACUGUAAAUGGGAUCGAUUCCUUGAUUUCUCUUUCUGUUGCUUCAUUGUUGGUGUAUAGGAAUGCAACUGAUUUCUGUGCAUUGGUUUUAUAUCCUGCAACUUUGCUGAAUUCAUGAAUUAGUUCUAGCAGUUUUUUGGUGGAAUCUUUUGGGUUUUCCAUAUAGAAUAUCAUGUCAUCUGUGAAGAGUGAAAGUUUGACCUCCUCCUGGCUGAUUUGGGUGCCUUUUAUUUCUUUGUGUUGUCUGAUUGCAGAGGCUAAGACUUCCAAUGCUAUGUUGAAUAACAGUGGCAAGAGUGGACAUCUCUGUCUUGUUCCUGACCUGAGGGGGAAAGCUGUCAGUGUUUCCCCAGUGAGGAUGAUAUUAGCGUUGGGUUGCUCAUAUAUGGCUUUUAUGAUCUUGAAGUCUGAUCCUUCUAUAUCUACUUUCUUGAGGGUUUUUAUCAGGAAAGGAUGCUGCAUUUUGUCAAAUGCUUUCUCUGCAUCUAUUGAGAGGAUCAUAUGGUUCUUGUCCUUUCUUUUAUUGAUGUGAUGAAUCACGUUAAUUGUUUUGCAUAUAUUGAACCAGCCCUGCAUCCCACGUAUAAAUCCCACUUGGUCCUGGUGAAUAAUUUUUUUAAUGUAUUGUUGGAUCCAGCUGGCUAAUAUCUUGUUGAGGAUUUUUGCAUCCAUGUUCAUCAGAGAAAUUGGUCUAUAGUUCUCCUUUUUUAGUGGGGUCUCUGGUUUUGGAAUCAGGGUAAUGCUGGCUUCAUAGAAAGAGUUUGGAAGUUUUCCUUCCAUUUCUAUUUUUUGGAACAGUUUAAGAGAAUAGAUGUUAACUCUUCCUUAAAUGUUUGGUAGAAUUUUCCUGGAAAGCCAUCUGGCCCUGGACUCUUGUGUUUUGGCAGAUAUUUGAUUACUAAUUUGAUUUCCUUACUGUUUAUGGGUCUGUUCAAAUUUUCUAUUUCUUCCUGUUUCAGUUUGGGUGGUGUAUAUGUUUCUAGGAAUUUGUCCAUUUCUUCCAGAUUGCCCAUUUUAUUGGCAUAUAAUUGCUCAUAAUAUUCUCUUAUUAUUGUUUUUAUUUCUGUUGUGUUGGUUUUGAUUUCUCCUCUUUUAUUCUUGAUUUUACUUAUUUGGGUCCUUUCCUUUUUCUUCUUGAUCAAACUGGCUAGUGGUUUAUCAGUUUUGUUUACUCUUUCAAAGAACCAGCUUCUGGUUUCAUUGAUCUGUUCUACUGUUUUUUUGGUUUUGAUAGCAUUAAUUUCUGCUCUAAUGUUUAUUAUUUCCUGUCUUCUGCUGGUUUGGGUUUUUUUUGUUUUUGUUUUUGUUUUUGUUUUUUUGCUGUUCUUUUUCCAGCUCCUUAAGGCGUAAGGUUAGGUUGUGUAUCUGAGAUCUUUCUUCUUUCUUUAGGAAGGCCUGGAUUGCUAUAUAUGCAGCCUUUGCUGCGUCCCAGAGGUUUUGGGUUGUGGUGCUAUCAUUUUCAUUGACUUCCAUAUACUUUUUAAUUUCUUCUUUAACUGCUUGGUUAGCCCAUUCAUUCUUUAGUAGGAUGUUCUUCAGUCUCCGAGUAUUUGUUACCUUUCCAAAUUUUUUCUUGUGGUUGAUUUUGAGUUUCAUAGUUUUGUGGUCUGAGAAUAUGCACGGUAUGAUCUUGAUCUUUUUGUACUUACUUAGGGCUGAUUUGUGUCCCAGUAUAUGAUCUAUUCUGGAGAACGUUCCAUGUGCACUGGAGAAGAAUGUAUAUUCUGUUGCUUUAGGAUGAAAUGUUCUGAAUAUAUCUGUUAAGUCCAUCUGGUCCAGUGUGUCAUUCAAAGCCAUUGUUUCCUUGUUGAUUUUUUGAUUAGAUGAUUGUCCAUUGCUGUGAGUGGGGUGUUGAAGUCUCCUACUAUUAUGGUAUUACUAUCGAUGAGUUUCUUUAUGUUUGUGAUUAAGUGAUUUAUAUAUUUGGGUGUCCCAUAUUUGGCACAUAAAUGUUUACAAUUGUUAGGUCUUCUUGGUCUAUAGACCCCUUGAUUAUGAUAUAAUGCCCUUCUGCAUCUCUUGAUACAGUCUUUAUUUUAAAGUCUAGAUUGUCUGAUAGAAGUAUGGCUACUCUGGCUUUCUUUUGUUUACCAUUAGCAUGAUAGAUGUUUCUCUAUCCCCUUAUUUUCAAUCUGUAGGUGUCUUUAGGUCUAAAGUGGGUCUCUUGUAAACAGCGUAUAGAUGGGUCUUGUUUUCUUAUCCAUUCUGUUACCCUAUGUCUUUUGAUUGGAGUAUUGAGUCCAUUGAUGUUUAGAAUGAGUACUGAAAGAUAUGAAUUUAUUGCCAUUAUGAUGCUUGUAGAGUUAGAGUUUCUGGUGGCGUUCUCUCGUCCUUUCUAAUCUUUUGUUGCUUUUGAUGUAAAUAUACAUAUAUAUACAUAUAUAUACAUAUAUAUAUAUGUAUAUAUAUAUAAUUUCAUCUUUUCUCCCCUCAGAGAGUCACCCUUAAUGUUUCUUGCAGGGCUGGUUUAGUGGUCACAAACUCCUUUAAGUUUUGUUUGUCUGGGAAAAUUUUUCUGUCUCCUAUUUUGAAUGACACUCUUGCUGGAUAAAGAAUUCUUGGCUGCAUAUUUUUCUGAUUUAGCACACUGAAUAUAUCCCGCCACUCCUUUCUGGCUGCCAAGUUUCUGUGGAUAGGUCUGCUGCAAAUCUGAUCUGUCUUCCCUUGUAGGUUAGGGACUUUUUUCCCCUUGCUGCUUUCAUGAUUCUCUCCUUGCCUGAGUAUUUUGUGAAUUUGACUAUGAUAUGCCUUGCUGAUGGUCAGUUUUUGUUGAAUCUGAUGGGAGUCCUCUGUGCCUCCUAGAUUUUGAUGUCUAUGUCUUUCCCCAGGUUAGGUAAGUUUUCUGCUAUGAUUUGCUCACAUAACCCUUCUACCCCUAUUUACCUCUCUUCCUCCUCUGGGUCCCCUAUGAUUCUGAUGUUGUUCCUUUUUAAUGAGUCACUGAUUUCUCUAAUUCUUAAAUCAUGCUCUUUUGCCUUAAUCUCCCUCUUUUUCUCUGCUUCAUUAUUUUGUAUAAGUUUGUCCUCUAUAUCGCUGAUUCUCUGUUCUGCCUCGUCCAUCCUUGCCGCCGCUGCAUCCAUCCGUGAUUGCAGCUCAGUUAUAGCAUUUUUAAUUUCAUUCUGGCUAUCUUUUACUUCUUUUAUCUCUGCAGAAAGGGAUUCUAAUCUAUUUUUGACUCCAGCUAUUAUUCUUAUUAUCGUGAUUCUAAAUUCUGGUUCAGACAUCUUGCUUGUGUCUGUGUUGGUUAAAUCCCUGGCUGUCGUUUCUUCAUGCUCUUUUUUGGGGGGUGAAUUCCUUCGUUUUGUCAUUUUGAAGGGAGAAAAGGAAUUAAUGAGGUAGAAAAAUUGAUAUUAAAAAAAUUAAAAUUAAAAAAAUAUUAAAUUUAAAAAUUAGGGGCGCCUGGGUGGCUCAGUCAGUUGAGCGUCCAACUUCAGCUCAGGUCAUGAUCUCGCGGUCUGUGAGUUCAAGCCCCGCGUCGGGCUCUGGGCUGACAGCUCAGAGCCUGGAGCCUGCUUCAUAUUCUGGGUCUCCCUCUCUCUCUCUCUGCCCUCUCCCGCCCAUUCUGUCUCUCUCUGUCACUCAAAAAUAAAUAAACACUAAAAAAAAAAUAAUAAUAAAUAAAAUAAAAUUAAAAAUACACCCACACAAAAAUCGAAUAGGUGAUGCUAGAUCCCAGGUGUGUUUUGGUCUGGGUGUAGAAAGUGGUUUGACAGAUUACAGAAAAAAUCAAACAAAUGAAAAAAGGGGGGGAGAGGAAAAAAAAAGGAAAUCGUUUGAGAAUUUGAAAAAUGAAUACACUAAAGUAAACUAAAAUACACAAAAGUAGAGAAUAUAGUAGAAAAAAUUAUGGAAAAAUAUUUUUAAUAAAAAUUAAAAAGAAAUAUGAAUUUUUUCAUUUUCUGUAUUUAAGAAAAAAGAAAAAUGAAAAAGGAAAAAAGGUAAAAAAAGAAAAAUGGAAAAGACAAAAAAAAGAAAUCAUUUGAAAAUUUGAAAAAGUGAAUACACUGUAGUAGACUGAAAUAAAAUGAUGGGAGUAAGAUAGAAUUUGAAAAAAUUUUCUUAAAAGCAAAAAAUAUAGUAAUAAAAAUUAAAUAAAAAUAUUUUUAAAGGAAAUUGAAAGUAAAAAUGAAGUUGUUCUCUUUCUGCAUUCAAGAAAAUGAAAAGAAAUGAAAAAGAGAAAAAAAGAAAAAAAAAGGAAAUUGUUUGAAAAUUUGAAAAGGUGAGUACACUGAAGUAGACUAAAAUAAAAUGAUGGAAGUAAAGUAGAAUUUGAAAAAAUUUACACAAAAGUAAAAAAAUAGUAAUAAAAAUUAAAGACAGAUAUUUUUAAUAAAAAUUGAAAAUAAAAAUGGGUUUUUUCUCUUUCUGUAUUCAAGAAAAUAAAAGAAUUGUAAAAGAAAAAGGAGGAAGAGAGGAAGAAAAAUUGAAGAGAUGAGCCUGCUAACAGAUUGAAGUAGGACUAAAUUGCUUCUUUUUCCCCUAGAGGUCAGUCCAUGUAGCUCUUUAUAGUCCAUAAAUUAAGCCGGCGGUGAGGUUUGUGUUCUUGAAGAGUGAAGUUGGCCCAGUUGGGCGGGGCUCGGUGUAACAGCUCCGCUCUCCCUUAGAUGGCGCUGCUAGCCUACUGGGGUGGAUUGUUGCAGUGGUCGUUGGUGCGCAUGCUCGGGAGUGGUGAAAAAUGGCGUCAUCCCGCCACCCACUGUAUUCUCCCAGAUCAGCAGCCGCGCACCAGUCCUCCGUCUUCAGCUCUCGUCUACUCCCCGGUUUUCCACUUUCUGUUAACAGGCCCCAGGCAGUACCUCUUUCCCAAGUUUUGUCUCAGAUGCGGCUGCUUUCCCCGGUCCCUUACUUCCGAAGGACUGCGGCUUUGACCCGCUCUGCCCCUCUGCGGGAGGGUCUCACCGAGCGAUGGCCGAAUGAGCAAUGGCCGAAUGUCGGCUGCACCCAGGAACGCCCGCUGGACCCUGCUGUUGCUCAUGCCCUGAGACUGCAGCCAUGUGCCAGCCUGCCCCCCCAAAAAUCACGAGACAGUGUAGCCUCAGCGUUUCAGGGACCAUGGAAAAUCGCAACCCACAUCUGGCACCAGGCUUCACCCUCAACAACCUUGCCCCAGCACCAGUGAAUGUGGCUGCCUUCCGGGGUCUGCUGGGACCAGGUGGCUUCAACAGUCUCUACCAAAUGUCCUUCCUGCAGUGGAACCACUUUUCCCCGUGUGGCCCAAGAACCUCCCGGAUCCCAGUCUGUUCCUGGGGAUUCACCUUUCCCACCAGAGCACAGCCAGGCUCUCUUUCUACUCGUGCUAGCUGGACAUGAAUGGCUUCAAGGUUCCAGGGGAUGAAAAAACUUCCAAAUGGAAGAGACCUCGAUGUAUGAGUUCCAACAGGGAGGUGUAUAGUAUUCAUGGAUAUAUAGUUGUUUAUUAAGCCAGUUCCCUGCUGUGGACACUUGGAUUGUUUUCUUGCUAUUAUGAAAAAUGCUUCACAGGCUCCACCUGGCUCCCCAGGUGAUCCCAACUUGAUGAGGAGACCACACUUAGAGCAGCCCUUCACUCUACUGCAGGAGAACAGCACUGCUCUUCUGUUAAGGAGACCUGGGUUUAGGUCUACCCCUGCCAGUUCUAUGGCUUUGGAAAACCCCAACUUGGAGUGGCCUUAUCAUCUACCUUUGCUUCUGGGCACCCUGGCUAUUGAAUGAAACUUGAGAAAAUCACAGAUCCAGGCUGACUGGUGCUGCUCACCUGAGCUCGCCACACCGUGCAAACACCACAGUACUCCAGUCACUCUCUUGUUCUGCACAAGGACCGUUCCAAAUGUACCUUUCUCUCUUCAAACUUCAGAGUGAGGAAGGGGUUAUGAGCUAAGGAGUGCAAGAGGUCUCCAGAAGCUAAGAAAGGCAAGGAAACAGAUUCUCCCCUACAACCUCCUGAAGGAAACAGUCCUGCAAACUUGUUGGGUUAUGCUUAGUGAAACUGAUUUUGGACAUUUGGCCUCUGCACCUACAAGAGAAUAAAUCUGUUUUGCUUAAAGUCAUUAAGUUUGUGGCAAUUCAUUAUAGGAGCAACAGGAAACAGAUGCCAAAAAGUGAGAUCACUUAGGGAGCAUUUGUGAAGAAGUCUCUUGAAAGCUGUUGCCUCUGUGUGGUUUUGUCUUCUAUGGAUCUACAGACAAGGCGCUGGUGCUGCAUCUGAGACCACCACUGGGUUGUCCUCAAGACCGGAAACAGGAAGUGCUGGAUGUUGAGAGAAGAGCUGGAACCCACUAGACAAUGUGUCCUUUGCUAUAUCUGACCAGAAACACUUUCAGAAAGCAAUGGCAGCUUUGUCACUUUUGCCUUCUGAAUCUCAUAGAAGUUCUUGUUUUUGCUAGCUACAACCCAGAUAGGGAACAGAAAUCAUAGUUCUGGGACCUACAGUUCCCACCUUAACCAAGCUGGUACAACACAUUCAUCCUCAAAUGACCUGAUUUUAUAGGUUUUCAUCUGCGCUUUUCCUCUCACUUAUGUUACAGCGAGAGCAUUUUCCUGUCAUUGAAAAUUCUUCCAAACUAAUUUGGAAGAAAUUCUGAUGACCCAUAAUUUAUUUAACCAUCCCUCUGUUAUUGGUGACUUAGGAUGUUUUCCUUUUUUUAAUUUUUUCCUGUGUUACUAAUAGUAUGGCAGUAACUCUCUAUGCAUACAAAUCUUUGUCAGUAUCUCUGAUAUUUCCUGGGAAUGGAUUCCUAGAAGGGGGAUUACUGAAUUAAAGGAAGUCAAUUUCUACAAAUUGUGAUGAUUCCUGCCAAACUGCUCUCCAGAAACGAUAUAUCAGCUUUCACUCCUAUUAACUGGGCCCUGGCCAGCAUCGAAUAUUGUGUUUUAAAUCCAUUCAGAGAGGCACUUCUUGACAAUUUCUAAUGCUGGUGAUCAUUAUAGCUCAAGACUUGGAAGUGAGGUGAGUUGGCCACAAUAUUCAUCUGCAGCUGGCUGGAGAGGCUGGUGACACUUCCUUCCUUUACCUCUGUGGGCACCUGCAUCUUCAGAAGCUAGACUCGUGAAAAACAACCUGCUGCAAUAGGCAAUACAGCACUUUUCAGUCAACAACUUGGGGAAAUAUAUUACUUACAAUUAAGUAUGACCUGAAGAAAUGCCAAUAUAGAAGGAAAACUAUUCCUUUCUCACAAAUAAAGAAACACAUUAAGUGAGCAACAAUGAUUUCUCUAGCUCUAACUAGCAAGUCCCUAACAGAUUAACAGUUAGCAUUCACUUCCCUGAAGUUUUCAAUCAUUAUUUAGGACAUUUCGAAGCAUAUACAUUGUACCAAAAACUAGAUUCUGCGUCUAAUAUGGGAAAAGCAUACUCUUUGGUUUACAGUUAAAACACUAAAACACAUUACCUGGCUAAUUCCCAUUGCAAAUAUUUGAAUUAAUAAGGAUGGUUUUAUGGCACGCUAUUUUAAAUCCUCUUUUUGAUUCUCAGCUUUACUGCAACAGAAAUGAAAAAUAAAACAUGAUUGCAUAUUGCUGAAGUGACCCAAGGAGAAAACCUAUUACAUCAGAGAAUUUCGUGCAGGGAGUGAUUAAGCAGUCUGUCUACAUGUUUUCCCAAAUUUGUAUUUCAGCUGAAAUGUAAUGGUUAGAUGGAUAAGCAGUAAUUGGUAUAUUGAGAAAAGAAAUUAAUACUGACUUAUCUUCUCUCCAAACUGCAAAGUUUAUUUUUAUAUACAAUCUCAGAAUGCUAAUAAAAUAAUCUAGUUUCCAUUUUUUCAAAAUUAGAGAUGCCUGAAUUUGUGAUGACAGUUUUGCUUUAUGAAAGCCUAUUUUAGAGUUAUCAGACUGUCUGAAAUCUUUAGAGAGUUUCUGCAUUAAGUAAGCCAACCAACAAAUAACCUCUCAGGAGACAAAAUCACAGAAAGCUGAGCUACAAGGAACAUGGCCGAGAUGAUGAGCGGUUCUCAGGAUGGUCCCUAAACCAACAUCAGAAUCACCUUGGAAUUGAUCAGAAAUGCAGAUUCUCAGGGCCCUGCUCAGACCUAUUGGAUCUGAAACUCUGGGGAGUAGGACUGGGCAGUUUGUGUCUUAACAAGCCAUCUGCUACAUGCUGAAGUUUCUUUAAGAGCUACUGAUCUACAAUGUUGCUUUCGUUGGGCUGAGAAGGAAGCCAAAGCCCAGAGAGGGCUAUUACUCCUUGAAUCACAGGAGAAGUUAAUGGCAUAGUAGGACCAGACUGCCUAGUCUGUAGACAACCUCAACAGUCCUUUACAACAUGUGGCUUGUCUGAGAUACCCAGUGAGGAAGAAAGUGUAUUUAGCAUGCUCUGACAGUCAGGCAAACUGUGUGGCAACUUUUUCUAGAAAGGAAAACUUAAUGCUACAAGAAGCAACCUAUACAAAGCUUAGCUAUAAAGAAAAUUUACUACUGUGAAACAGCCAACCAAGUCUUCAAUGGACUAGAUGCAUGGACUAUUA